rnacentral:rRNA from 1 species
CCCUUAGAUGUUCAGGGCCGCACGCGCGCUACACUGAAGGGAUCAGCGUGUCUCACCUCGCCUGAGAAGGCCGGGUAACCCGUUGAACCUCCUUCGUGCUAGGGAUUGGGGCUUGUAAUUCUUGCCCAUGAACGAGGAAUUCCCAGUAAGCGCGAGUCAUCAGCUCGCGUUGAUUACGUCCCUGCCCUUUGUACACACCGCCCGUCGCUCCUACCGAUUGAAUGCUCAGGUGAGCCAUUCGGACUUUCAUCAUGCUGGUUUCCAGUUUUGAUGAAGGAAAGUCUUGCGAACCUUAUCAUUUAGAGGAAGGAGAAGUCGUAACA